UACGGGGGGAGCAAGCGUUGUUCGGAUUUACUGGGCGUAAAGGGCGCGUAGGCGGCCACUGCAAGUCAGUUGUGAAAUCUCCGGGCUUAACCCGGAAAGGUCGACUGAUACUGCAGGGCUAGAGUGCAGAAGGGGCAACUGGAAUUCUCGGUGUAGCGGUGAAAUGCGUAGAUAUCGAGAGGAACACCUGCGGCGAAGGCGGGUUGCUGGGCGUGACACGUGACGCUGAGGCGCGAAAGCCAGGGGAGCGAACGGG
rnacentral:rRNA from 1 species